rnacentral:tRNA from 1 species
UCCUGCGUGACUGAGUUAGUAAAAGUGCAAGCGCAAGCCUUUGGACAUAGGUUCGAAUCCUAUCGCAGGUU